ensembl:snRNA U2 U2 spliceosomal RNA
ACACUUGCCAGCCUUUCAGCUAAGCUCAUAUAUAGUAUCUGUUCUUAUCAUUUUAAUGUCUGAUAUGUCCUUUAUCUGAGGACAAGAUAUUAAAUGGAUUUGGGGAAGUAGGGGAUGGAGUAGGAUCUUGUUCCAUCCACUCCACACAUUGACCUGGUAUUGCAAUACUUCCAGAAAUACUGCACCCCCU